rnacentral:rRNA from 1 species
GUGGAUUAGAUACCCGGGUAGUCCUAGCCGUAAACGAUGUAGACUUGGCGUCAGCGGGUUUAAAUCCGUUGGUGCCGAAGCAAACGCGAUAAGUCUACCACCUGGGGACUACGGCCGCAAGGUUAAAACUCAAAGGAAUUGACGGGGGCCCGCACAAGCAGCGGAGCGUGUGGUUUAAUUCGAUGUUACACGAAGAACCUUACCAGGGUUUGACAUGCAAGUGGUAGGGAAGCGAAAGCAGACCGACCCUUCGGGGAGCUUGCACAGGUGCUGCACGGUCGUCGCCAGCU